AGAGUUUGAUCAUGGCUCAGAACGAACGCUGGCGGCGUGCUUAACACAUGCMAGUCGAACGCSAAAGGGACUUCSGUCCCGAGUAGAGUGGCGCACGGGUGAGUAACGCGUAAGUAAUCUACCCCUGUAUCUGGAAUAACCCACCGAAAGGUGAGCUAAUACCGGAUACGUUUAUCUUGAUGCGAAUGAUGAUAAAGAAAGGUGGCCUCUUCAUGAAAGCUACCGUACAGGGACGAGCUUGCGUACCAUUAGCUGGUUGGUAGGGUAAUGGCCUACCAAGGCGACGAUGGUUAGCAGGUCUGAGAGGAUGAUCCSCCACMCUGGAACUGAAACACGGACCAGACUCCYACGGGAGGCAGCAGUGAGGAAUAUUGCGCAAUGGGGGCAACCCUGACGCAGCGACGCCGCGUGGACGAUGAAGGCCCUUGGGUCGUAAAAUCCUGUCAGAUGGAAAGAAAUGUACAGGUGUUAAUAUCGCCUGUAUUUGACGGUAC
rnacentral:rRNA from 1 species